AUUGAAAGUUCAAUAAUAAUUUAGAUGGGGGUUGAAUAGAUUAUUACUGAUUAAAAAUUUAUAUUAGGUCUUUUUGAAUUAAUUAAUUCGUAGUGUCAAAAAUUAAUAUGCAAGACAAUAAAAAUUCAAUCAUACAAUGCACAAAGACAGGGGCGGAUCCAGCCACAAAGUUCAGUGGGGUCAAAUUUGAAUUUUUUUUUUAAGAAUACAAAUUAUAACUAUAUACUUAUAUACUUUUCUAAAU
rnacentral:lncRNA from 1 species